GCCGCCUCUAUCCACACCGACGACGCCUUUUCCUACAAGAAUAUAUUCAGCUGGUGAAGCCGAGCGCCGAUUUUAUUCCGGCAAAACUCGACGCCGGACGUACGGCCUUCUUUCCACUGCGCUUAUCCGGACCCCGGGACGUGCCGGAACGAAUCUGUUCGCCGGGCGCAUCACCCGUCGUCAGGUGCAUGGCGAGAUAAAUCCCGGUGGCUUCGUCUUGGCCAGCCGCUGUCAGCUCGUACGUGGAAUAUCAAGUGGUGCUACCAAGUUGCGACGGCGAGCGCACGGCGGCGAGACGUCGACCGGUCCGCCCCGGCCACCAUUCCCACAGUGCCACAGUGGGCUCGCGGCCGGCAGUGGUGGCGCGCGCUGUACGCGAGGGACGGGAGCCGGCCAUGUCGCGCGCGAGAGGAUAGAAAAGCUGAAAAAGGUGUUUGCUUGUCGUCUUCCUCGUACCGAAACGGCCUUUGCUUAGCCCGCACUCCCUCGCUGCCGCGCUUCUCCUUCCCUCCCAAGGCACCACCACAAAUACCAGGGGCGAAUGGUAUUAGCAGAAGCAACCGACUUUACAAAAUCAAGGUGCAAAAGACACUCCAUUUAGCCACGACUUUAUUUCGUCAAAGAGUACUAUCUUCGUCCAAAUGUAUAGGGUAUGCGUGUAAUUUUAGGUUCAGAUUUAAGUGACACUGCAGGACAGUAGGCCUCGUGGCGUGGGACCGGACCGUCAGCCAUACGCGGGAGAUCAUCAGGUCCAGAUUUCAGACAGCCGUUGGAUCAUCAGGUCAAAAUAAUGGAGUAGUACGCAAUGCAAUGUGCCUACGCGUCUUUCUUGUUGUACAUGUGGGUGCACUGGAACGUGCAGCAGUAGCUGCAGCGAGCCAGCUAAUUAAGCAGAGUUCAGCCUUGCCCCAACUACACUAGAUUAGCAUUAGUCAAAUCAAAUCUCCCUCCGGCGGAUUAGUUUACACGUAACACUACACUCGGGUUAUUUCUCCUCGCCGGCCGGACCGGACGGCGAGCANNNNNNNNNNNNNNNN
rnacentral:lncRNA from 1 species